GUACCCGCUUUAAGUUACAGUUUUACUGUGAACACUGAGGCUGUACCUGCUUUAAGUGACAGGUUUACUGUGAACACUGAGGCUGUACCUGCUUUAAGUCACAGUUUUACUGUGAACACUGAGGCUGUACCCACUUUAAGUUACAGUUUUACUAUGAACACUGAGGCUGUACCCACUAAGUUACAGUUUUACUGUGAACACUGAGGCUGUACCCACUAAGUUACAGUUUUACUGUGAACACUGAGGCUGUACCUGCUUUAAGUUACAGUUUUACUGUGAACACUGAGGCUGUACCUGCUUUAAGUUACAGUUUUACUGUGAACACUGAGGCUGUACCUGCUUUAAGUUACAGUUUUACUAUGAACACUGAGGCUGUACCUGCUUUAAGUUACAGUUUUACUGUGAACACUGAGGCUGUACCC